CCCAAGUGGGCGCUCUGGCCGGUCCACGCUGCCCUUUUGCUGGACAUGCUCGGCCUCCUGGUGGCCUACGUGGCAGGAAGUACCAGGAAUUGGGAGUCGUCCAGGAAUGUGACAUUCCUUUUCGUCCCCCUGCUCGUCUACAUUUCGGCCUACCCACUAGUAGUGGCGAUAUUCAUUCGUAACAAACACCGCAGAUCCCCCCAGCAGUCAAGGAUGCAAGCAGUAGAACAAAUGCGGCCAGAACUGUUGUGUUCUUGUGGUCGUGCAUCCGUCACCGCAAUCUCUUUCCUAGUCUUCUCUAGAUGGCAUGAUUUGUCAUUCAUCUACCUCAGCGCGUGUAGACAUCUGCUCUGGCUGGUGUACCAUCUUGCCGACUCCAUUGGAGACCGGUUUUUCUACCGGGAUAUCCGAUCUCAUACGUGUGGCCUGCCGAUACUUCUAGCGCUCUGCGUCCCCGAUCCCGGCGGCCCCGCCCAUAGCCAUGUGAUUUUUGGGUCGAUUCCACCUGAAUCGUGCCUCUCUGACCCUUCUAUCUCUCCCUGGAUCGAGAAAUACGGAUCCGCAACAACAUUGCGCCACCGGCCCCCCCUUCCCUUCCUCUUUUGUGUGCUUCCCAAUCCAUCCCGAGAUAGACGCUGCGGAGGUUGGCCUGCUAGCAGGGCGCGGGGCUGGCGAGCGUCGAGGGGUCGCAGCAGUAGAGGGGGAGCGGGAGGUGGUUGGAGGAGGAGGAGGCGGGCGCCCCUGCAAUUCGCGAGGCCGAGGAGAGCAGCGGUUGGCCCCACAGCGAGGCCAACGAGAGGUUGA
rnacentral:rRNA from 1 species